rnacentral:tRNA from 1 species
AGCUCAGUUGGUAGAGCAAAGAACUGAAAA